GCGUGUACUAACAGAGUUAAAACUAUUCCUUUCACGCAAUAGUGCCCUUAAAUGACUUCCUUUUACCAAUUUUUAAAUGACCUUUUCACGGUGCUUGCGAUUUAUAUGUAGGUGAAUAGACAAGGACCGAUAAGAAUAUACGGAUUUCUGUACACUCCGUACAAGUAUCAAUUAUAGAACUAUAUUGAUGUUUCUUAAGGAGAGGGUCGGGUCCUUCAUAUUAUCGGCUGAUACGUUCAUGUAUCACGAUCACAAAAGUUCGAGUUGUCGGGAGAUUUUCCUUCCAUUGUUUCUUAUGACGAAGGACAUAAUAUUGCUGUAAAAUUUUGAAAUUUUAAAUUUAAAAUCUAUAGUUACAUUACGCAGAACUAUACCCCUAAAAUUCAUAAUUUAAACAGUGCUUUGGGGAUUGACAAAAGGUAGUAAUUUCUAUAAUAAGGGAAUGUUAAUGUGUUAGAAAGCAUAUCUAAC
rnacentral:lncRNA from 1 species